rnacentral:rRNA from 1 species
UACGGAGGGUGCGAGCGUUGUCCGGAAUCACUGGGCGUAAAGGGCGCGUAGGCGGCUCGACAAGCGUGUGGUGAAAGUCCGGGGCUCAACCCCGGAUCGGCCGUGCGGACUGUGGGGCUGGAGCACUGUAGAGGCGAGCGGAAUUCCGGGUGUAGCGGUGGAAUGCGUAGAGAUCCGGAAGAACACCGGGAGGCGAAGGCGGCUUGCUGGACCUGGUCUGGACGCUGAGGCGCGAAAGCGUGGGGAGCGAACAGG